rnacentral:ncRNA from 1 species
GCCCUGGUCGGAAACCAGGGCCCGAUAAAAGGAG